ACGGAAGGCAGCAGUGGGGAAUAUUGGGCAAUGGGCGCAAGCCUGACCCAGCAACGCCGCGUGAAGGAAGAAGGCUUUCGGGUUGUAAACUUCUUUUAAGGGGGAGGAGCAGAAGACGGUACCCCUAGAAUAAGCCACGGCUAACUACGUGCCAGCAGCCGCGGUAAUACGUAGGUGGCAAGCGUUGUCCGGAUUUACUGGGUGUAAAGGGCGUGCAGCCGGGGAAGCAAGUCAGAUGUGAAAUCCAUGAGCUCAACUCAUGAACUGCAUUUGAAACUGUUUCUCUUGAGUACUGGAGAGGCAAUCGGAAUUCCUAGUGUAGCGGUGAAAUGCGUAGAUAUUAGGAGGAACACCAGUGGCGAAGGCGGAUUGCUGGACAGCAACUGACGGUGAGGCGCGAAAGUGUGGGGAGCAAACAGGAUUAGAUACCCUGGUA
rnacentral:rRNA from 1 species